CACAAUCAAACAAAGUAAAGUGUACAGACACAAAUCUAAAAUGUACAAUUCGAUGUGAAAAUAAGUUCUUAAAUGCACCUAAAAUGUCAUUCUUGUUUUUAUACAAUAAAACACCCCUCUUCAUUUCUGUUUUAAAUUAUUUUGUAGAUUGCAAAGUGCCGCUGGUGAAAGGUGGAGCUCCGGAGGACAAAUCGGAUACAAUCAACUGAUGAUAAGAUCUUUGUACUGCUGCCAUCACUGAGAAGAACAUGUUGGGGAAGAAGGAUCUGGCAUAGAUGGCCAUCUUGGGAAGUGACGGAGCAAUCAGCACCUCUUUCUUCUUGUUGCUCAGAGUCUUGACGAUCUCAGCGCUCGCCUCCUCCGGAGAAACACCAAGCGGCUUCCUGACAAACAACACUGCAGGGAGACAAGUCUCUAAUUCAGCCUACAGCAGACAGCUGUCUCAUGUUUGUGUUCAGAAGUUACUGACGUGACCAGAGCAGGGACUUGGAGGCUGACGUGGUUCCAGCUGCUGAGCAGCAGAUGAAGGUGUGGUUGAUGGUGCUCACAGAGAUUCCAAAUUCCUCAACUUCAGCUCUCAGGCAAUCAAAGAAAGCCUGGACUGCAUGUUUGGAAGCUGAAUCUGGAACACAAAAUUUAACCCCAUUGUUGUAUCUUUAGUGUGAAAGAACAAAAUCAAACAGCUUCCUGCUCAUCAUCAACCUCUGAACUCACACGCUGUGCGAAAAGGAAUGGCUAUCUUCCCUUGGAUGCUGUUAACCAGAAUCAGAUGGCCGUUUCUUCUGGAGAUCAUGGAGGGCAGCACACCUAAAACAGGGAAACCACAAUGCUGUCACUGUUCCAUCCAUCCGUCCAUCCAUCCAUCCAUCCAUCCAUCCAGAGUCGGGUCACGGGGGCAGUAGCCUAAGUUGAGAGGCCCAGACUUCCCUCUCCCCAGCCACAUGGGCCAGCUCCUCUGGAGGAAUCCCAAAGCAUUCCCUGGCCAGGUGAGAGACACAGUCCCUCCACCGUGUCCUGGGUCUACCUUUAGGUCUCCUCCCGGUUGGACAUGCCCAGAAAACCUCACCAGGGAAGCGUCCAGGAGGCAUCCUGACCAGAUGCCCGAGCCACCUCAACUGGCUCCUCUCGAUGCGGAGGAGCAACGAAUCUACUCCGAGCCCCUCAUGGAUGACCGAGCUUCUCACCCUAUCUCUAAUAGAGAGCCCAGCCACUGUGUGGAGAAAACUCAUUUCGGCCGCUUGUAUCCGUGAUCUCGUUCUUUCGGUCACUACCCUACCCUAUGCUCAUGACCAUAGGUGAGGGUAGGAACGUAGAUCGACCGGUAAAUCGAGAGCUUCGCCUUCUGGCUCAGCUCUCUCUUCACCACGACAGACCGGUACAACGCCCGCAUCACUGCAGACAUCAGGCUGUAACAGUUUCAUUGCAACGUUACAUCAUUCAGUGAGUGACCUUUAGCCAGAGUGAUGGGCCCGAAGUAGUUGUUGUCCAUCAGAAGCCUGUCCAUCUCCAGAGACAGGCUCUGUGCAGGAGCUUUGACCUUUAAGCUGUUAUUGAAGAUGAGAAUAUCCAAGCAGCCGUAGCAUUCCAGGAUCUCAUCGAUGACCUCGGGCAUGCUACCCAUGUCAUCAAAGUCCAGCAGGACGAGCUUUGGGGGGAAUGUCUGGGGAAAGAAAAGGCUUACAGCUGUGAUGCUAGCCAUGGAUGCUUCUGCCUCUGGUGCCAACUGAGUCAUAGGAUAUUAGCAGCAAAACUGAUUAAAUACAAAGCAUUUCCUACAGAUUUUUACUUUUCCAGCGCUGGAUUUGUAUUUAUUGUGAAAGUCUUCCAUCAGUUCACUCAUCCAGUGUACUUACUACGGUGGGAUCAGAAGAAUUUGCCAAUUCAUCUGCAAGUUCUUCAAGUUUCUCCCAGCUUUUUCCACAGAGGAUCAGUCUUGCUCCUCCUUUGUGAAACACACCUGCACAUUCUUCACACAAACACGUAACAUCUGAGAUAUCAAGUCCUCACCCAAAGCUUUAUUGUAGUUUUCUGUUAAUUACCUUUCCCAAGCCCAGAUAAAGCAUCCGUUAUUAGGACCACCUUGUUGCGUACGGAUGUUUUAGACAGCAGACCAACAAUUACAUCAUACAGGUAGAAAAAUCCAGCUGUGAGGACGACCACGAUGGGCACCACCAGGACCGUGGUGGUCCAUCCCAGGCUCAUAUCUGGCAGGAUUUCCUAAAACAUGUUUAGAUUUUUUAAAUAUGUGUACAAAUUAUGUUAGAGAUUCUGAUCGAAUGUUCUGACACAAAACAUGAAAUUAAAGGUUUCACAUGUUUUAAGAAAACAUGCUUAUGAACACAAACAAAAAAUGUUAAGUAAACUAAAAUGAGACAAAUCAGAAUCAGUCUAUGAUGCUUCAAAAAUCACUAAACAGCAGUCCACUUGUCUUUACAGAACUCAGAAGAAUGUCCAUAGAAAAAACAACAACAAAGGUGUGACGUUUUAAUGAAAACAUGCUUAUUGACACAAACACAGAAGAACUAGCAACUAGUUAGCUUAGCAAAAAAUUUAAUUCAAGCUGUGGAUCGCAUGUUUAAUAAAUAUAUUUGCAUUGAUAUGUUUCAUCUCCAAAAUAACACAAGCCUGGAGGAGUUCUGCCGUGUGUUGGAGUUGCUAAUGCUAACGCUUAGCUUCUAGUCGAGGCAUUCUCAUCUGAUUCCUGAAUGUUAAAACAACAGACUUCCCUGUCACAAUUCAAGAUGGGUGAGUCCAUGAAUGAUAAGUGACCACGGUGUAGAUCUGUCAGCAUUUUCUAAUUAUUUCAUCCUCUAUUUUCUAUCAGAAGCUAAAACAGAGAAUAUUUCCAUGUUCAGCCUGCAUGAAAAAUCCUGAGUGACCAAAUAUAAGCACAAGAUUUAAAAAAAAAAAGUUUUUCAGUGUUUCCCACCUGUAAAGAUAAAGCCCUAAUCAGAUUAUGAUGCCUCUCCUUCAUUAAACGCAGUCAUGGUGUCUUCAGAGUUAAGACGACAGUUAGCUUAGCUUCGUGUAAAAUGUAACAAAAGGUCAGUCUAGGUGUCGUAUCACGCCAAAAUAAUUCUAAAGCUAACCAACUAAGUUGCUGUAUAUGAUGUUCUCAUGUGUUCUCAGAACUGACAGAAAUUAAAACGUCAUUUCUCUAAAACUAGCAGCAGCUAGUGGAAAUGAGAGACAAAGAAUAAAAAAAGUUACUCUAUGAUUAACAAAGAAUGAAAUUUCUUCUAAUAAUAACUUUUUGGUUCAAAUCAGAGAAAUAAAAGGUUUUCAGUAAAAAAUUGCAAAUUAGCUUUGUUUAACACACACACAAAAAAAAGAACAUUCUAGAAUGGAAACUGAAUAGAACUGAAAUUUAGCUAGUUAGCUAAGCCUAGCAUCUAAGGAGGUUCCUUUCAAAAUAGACCUCCAAAGUUUAAAGAAUGAAAACUAAAAUCCUGAUAAACAACCCCAUCAGUGACUGUGUUGUGCUUCAAGCAUGUUUCAGGAAGUGAGUAAACUCUAAAUGAAAGAUGAUUUGGAUUUUGGAUGAGAUGUUAAAAGUUUCCUAGUUUCUACUAAACGAGCGUUUAACACCAGGAGUCUCACCGGCUCUGACGCAUUGGGAUCCAUCUCACCCUCUACAAUCAUUCUAAUGUAAAUCUGAGUUCUAACAGUUCUGAAACAAAAACAAAAAAUAUAUUUGAAACAAAUUCUUACAACAGAAACCAAAAUUGCACUGAAAAGGGCAAAAAAAGCAAAGUUUUUAGUAUUUAAAGAGCAAGUCAACCCCUGCCAGAUUCUUACUCAACUCCCUCUUCAUGUUUGAAAAAUGCAACAAAUGCUGUUGCCUUGCAGACCGAGAGGGCGGAGCCGCUAACAAAUACACACACACACAGGCUCACAACGACAUCGUGGCAUCAUAAGGACCAGUUUACAUCAUAGCAUACCUCUUAGCCAAUAGCGGUGGCAGAUUUAAAUUCAAAUGCAGUGCAGAGUUUUUACCUGACGACAGCGCAACACUGCCAGUUUUAGGCAGAAUAUUUAAAUUUUAACUAAGAUGCACUGAAGUACCAAAUUAUUGACUACACAUGUCUGCAGCACGAUUAGACAUGCAUUUAUGUAGUUAUCAGCAAAAAAGGUUGAUUUGGGGGUGACUUGCUCUUUAAUGAAGUUUUCCUCAAAAUGAACUCAUUCUGCACCUCAUUUCAGAUUCCUGUUAUGUGUCGUCUUCGAGUAAAAGCAGCAUCCCGAUAACCUUUAGGUUUACCAUGCCAAGCACCAGCUGUUUGUCCAAGAAAAGGUUUCUAAAUAUAAACUACCACUAAAAUAGAAAGAGCAGCUCUCAGUGUCACAGAGAACGCAGCAUAUUACAGCUUAUUGGUCACAAAACAGCAGAACGCUCAGUUUUCCGUCUAUUUUCUAGAACUCCAAUUGUUUCCAUAGGUUUUUACUGUUUUUUACAUUUAACAAAUCACAGAUGCAUUAAAUGUUAUAGAUCACAUUUGAGUCAUCUGAUCUCAAAAUGCAAGAAGUGAAUUAUCAGGCCACCACUUACUGGUUCUCGUUCUCCUGCAGGGUCAGCUGGGUUUAAUUAUCUCCUGAUAUCUCCUGACGCCUCAGCAGAGCUUCUCCAGAAUGACGACUGGCCAGCCUUCCACAGCAAUACUUUGGGAUUUGAGCUCUUUUAAUAGCAGCACAGCUGACUCGGCUGUUUUCUGUUGAUGUUGUGAAUCGUGUGGAGACCAAAGCUGCUUCUCUGUUGAUGAACCAAUAGUAGAGGAUCGAGAACUUGGAAAUCUACUGAUGCUGAAGAUGCUUUGCAUUAAAACCUAAGCGUUUGCAUGUGACAUAUUGCAAGAAGCAAUCAUGUAAUGAAUCCAACUCUACAGCUGCUGGGCCAAUCAGGAACCUUCAUCCAAUCACAUGUCAACAUGCAGGUUGUAACUGCAAGUUUUUUUAAUUACUGUAAAAAUAAAAAUGAUUAAGAAAUACAUUGAUUUCGAAAAUAGCUCUUCAAGAAAUGAUGGUGUAUUUUUUUAUUGCAUU